AAACAUGCUCUGUGGUGUCUCGGUCUGGGUAGUUUGUGUUUCCAAACUUCCUUACGUCUCCUCUUCUUUUCUCUUUUCUGCCAAAAUUUAUAUAAUACUGACUUUAUUGUCUCCAUUCCUGUGUUUUCAAAAAGAGCUCUUCCAAUGCUGUCCUCUUCGUCCUGCUGGUAUGGACGCGGGGAUGCUGCUCCUUUCCUCGUUAAGGCGGAUACACACUGCGAUGCGGCCUGUCCGGCGGCUGAAAAGCGGGAGGAGCUAGAGGCCUUAAGGCGGGUGUGGGCCGCCCUAAGUGAGUUACGGCCUCCUUUCCCUGCACGCCUUCGCUGCUACGAGUGAAACAUACAGCCUUCAUACAGACUUGGGGAUACACCCCCCAUCCUUCCCAACGUAGUAUCUUGCACGCGUGGGUGAGCAGGGACAUCACUGUGUUGCAAGUAUUGUAUAUAUGUAGUGCGGCGACGGCCUGAUGAACGAGCCUCCCAUAACCCACUUAGCCAGUGGUGUACCUCUUUGGCCGACUCGGUAAGGAGUGGCUCUCCCGUCACGCUGGUCGCGGGUUUAAUCCCAGGCAGCCAGGGAAUACUCUCACUUUGUCUUGAUUAAUUUCUCGUGUGUUUCGAUACACGCAGAGGACGUGUAGGAAAAUAGAAAAAGAGAAAAUAAAAAAAGCCCGGGGCAUUACAGUGGUGGCAUAGCGGUGGGCAUCCUCUCCUGCAGUUCUGUUGAGUUUCCCCGAAGGGGUAACAGGUAGGAUGGCCCAUGCUCCGAGGUUGAUAGAAAAUGGAAAUAUUGGAGGUAUGUCUCAAAGGGACAUUGUGGAGUUAUGUCUCAAAGGGACAUUGUCAACGCACAAAUUAAUCUACAUAGGGGGGAAAGCUGUGUAGUGCGGCGACGGCCUGAUGAAUGAGCCUCCCAUAACCCACUUAGCCAGUGGGGUACCUCUUUGGCCGACUCGGUAAGGAGUGGCUCUCCUGUCACGCUGGUCACGGGUUCAAUCCCAGGCAGCCGGGGAAUACCCUCACUUUGUCUUGAUUAAUUUCUCGUGUGUUUCGAUACACGCAGAGGACAUGUAGGAAAAUAGAAAAAGAGAAAAUAAAAAAAACCCGGGGCAUUACAUAUAUACCAUAGUGCUGAUGAAUGUUAAAGGUAACUUUUCACAAAAAUAGUGUUAGCUUGCAUAUAGAAUAUAGCAAAGUCUGAAUGUCGGAGGUUAUGAACAAAGGUAGGUUAGGUUUGUGUCAGUGCUAAUACCAUUAGUAGCUCCUCUUCUGAAAAGUUCGGCCUCCUUUUCUUCGUAGGGGGCAAAGGCAGAGCUCAUUGGCUGCUGGCUCCCUGCUGGCUGUUAGGGGAAGGUGUGCAGGUCUGACACAAUUAUUAAGUGUGCUCAGUUUCAGUGGACGACCUGAAACAGAAAUACAGAACAGAGCGUGUGCUAGCGUUUGAAAAGCGCGGCGAAAACAGGGCCAAUAAUGGCAUCCAAAUCUUAGGUUGUUGGAACUCUCUCUAUCAAGGGACUCUAGUGUUGAGUUGACGGUCGUGAGUUUCGCCUUUGUAACGGCACUCCCUGAUGUAGCUCUUUGGGUUUACUCACCUGGUUUACUCACCUGGUGGGGUUCCCAACCCCACAAUCCACAUGAUGAGGAGGGGGUACUAGGAAGCCAGCACUCUGCAGAUGUGCCAGCUCUCAAUAUAUAAUUACAUACAAAAAAACAAGUACAGGUAACUCUCGAUUUACGCGAGUUUGGUUUACGCAUUUUUUAAAUAACGCGGGGUCCAAAAUCCAAAUAAAUGUUUAAUUUACACGUUUUUUCACUUAUACGCGAUAUUUUUUGGAGUGGCCACCAGAUGUCUCACGCAACUGGACUCACACGGCGCUGCGGCCACACAGCUAAGCUCAGUUCUUCCCGCGCGCCACUUGAACAACAAUACAGUACCCACGCUGCCACGCUACUCAACAAUAGGGGUGGGCAGGUACCGGUACCAGAACCGGUACUAACGGUACCAGCUAUAUGGUACGGUACCGGUACUAGAUUGCUCGGUACCGGUACCAAUACUAGCCAGUCGCUCAUGGUGCCCCUAAUUUCUUCCUCACACGAGUGAGGCUGAGACUGAGUGCCUGAGUGGAUAUCUCGGUGAUAUGGAUAUUCUCUCUCUCUCUCUCUCUCUCUCCACUGAAUGAAGUGAAUAUUUAUUUUUCGAUAGAAACCUACCUCUUGUUUGAUUUACAUUGUUUUUGAUUUACGCGACCUCUUCAAGGACACAAUACUCGCGCAAAUCGAGAGUUACCUGUACUAAUGAAAGAGCUGGAUAGUGCAUCAUAUCCAGUCAACUUGUAAUGGCAUUUAUAAGAUUAGAUGAAGAACUAUUGUCCAUUUAAUGAUAUUCUAAAAGUUUGUCCCCAAGAUGAUGAGCUAGUGCUGAUUUAAAGAGAUAAAGACUGGAGGGUGACUAGGGACUCUGGGAGGGAAUUCCACAAAGGAAUUCCACUGACAUUAAAGGACCUCUUCCUAUAGUUCAAGCUGGGUCCUAACAUGUGCUAUUUUGUACAGGUGGCCUCUGGUGGGUAAAUCAGGAGUUAGAACAAAAGGUCUGAAGGGGAGAUUGCACAUUUAUUAUGAAAGGUCUGCCAGUACUUGAUCAUGUCAUGACGGAGCAAACGACUAUGUAUUGAGAAUAAAUCUAGUGAUUUUAAC